CUUCAAACUUCCAAAUUUUCAAUCCUCCCAUAAAAUUUCUACAAAAUUAAGGAACCCAUUUCCCAAAUCAAAUAUUUCAUCUCUUAAAAGUUCUUUUACUCCACAGCGGCUUAUGAACUGGACAACUGGUAAGUAUUUUUGGUUUCAAAAUUCAAAAUUUAGUAACUUUAGUUUCUUAGAUUUUAAUACUUGGACCGUCUUUUAUAUAUAUUUUUCAUUAAUAAUUUGAUAUUGAUUAUUGAGUAUGAGUUUUUGAAAAAUCCAAGUUUUUUUUUUUGUUUUUGUUUGCAGUUUGUUUAAAUGGCCUGAUAUUUAUUUUUAUUUUUUUUUAGUACUUGAGCAUUUUUUAAAUUUUCAGAUUUGAGGAUUCAAUUGAUAUUAAUUUUGACAAGAGCUUUUCACAUUAAUUAGAUUGCGGAGUAAAAGUUCAUUCUAAAUUGUAAUGUAGAAUUCCUCUACAUCAACAGGCUUAAUUGAUUUAUUUUUGAAUUUCAAAAUGCAAUAAAUUUUUCACGGCACGAAUGCAGACCCACAGAAAUGUAGGAAAGGGAAACUGCAAAAGCUUAAAUAUACUCCCUAGUAGGUAAAUGUCGUCAUCUCUCUACUUGUGGCCUUGUCCGCAAAAUAUUGAAAAUGUUGCCUACUUGUCUUAUUGGUCAAUUAGUUAAUUAAUUAUUGUUAAAAUGUUGCCUUGUCAGCUUAAUAACUUUUGUUGACAUAUUGUCUUGACAGCUUAAUGAUUGUUGUCUUUGCCUUGUCGGGCAGUCGGCUUAAUGAAUUAUUUUCAUUGCCUUUUUGACUUAAUGAAUUAUAUUUACUUUUAAAUUUUAACUCGUGCGUUAAAAAUUCCUGGAUUCAUCCCUGACUAUAAAUAACAUUACUCUUAUUUUUCACAUAUUUUAUUCAUGUCACCUAACCUUCAAACAGGACAGAAAAAAUGAUCGGUGAGGAGUGGAAUUUAGGUCCACACAACUGAUCUCAUAUGGAAAUGGAGUUUUCGAGUGAGGCCCACAAUAAACUCAUCAUUGGAAGAAAAGUUGUGGAGAUAUUUCAAGAAAAAUAAUGUCAUUUUCUUGAUUUCAAAACAAAUAACCCAGAGGCAUAUCGCCGCCAUUAAUGUAGGGCAGGUGUGUACGCAUAGUUGAAGACAAAUAGACAUUAACCAUAAAAAAUGAGUGAUUGUUUUAGAUAUUCGUUAGUGUGCAUUAAUGCAGUACCCUUUGCUUGUAUAAAC
rnacentral:lncRNA from 1 species